rnacentral:rRNA from 1 species
UACAGAGGGUGCAAGCGUUAAUCGGAAUUACUGGGCGUAAAGGGCGCGUAGGCGGCCUUCUAAGUCGAACGUGAAAUCCCCGGGCUCAACCCGGGAACUGCGUCCGAUACUGGAAGGCUUGAAUCCGGGAGAGGGAUGUGGAAUUCCAGGUGUAGCGGUGAAAUGCGUAGAUAUCUGGAGGAACACCGGUGGCGAAGGCGGCGAUCCUGGACCAACACUGACGCUGAUGAACGAAAGCCAGGGGAGCAAACGGG